GUCCGCCUAGCUCAAUCGGAUAGAGCGUCAGACUCUUACAAUGACAGGUGGUUUAGUGGGUAUCUGAAGGCUGCGAGUUCGACCCUCGCGGUGGGCU